rnacentral:rRNA from 1 species
AGCGACGCCGCGUGGGUGAUGAAGGCCUUCGGGUCGUAAAGCCUUGUCAAAGAGGAAAGAACGACUCUGGGGUAAAUAGCCUCAGGGAAUGACGGUACCUCUGAAGGAAGCACCGGCCAACUCCGUGCCAGCAGCCGCGGUAAGACGGAGGGUGCAAGCGUUGCUCGGAAUUAUUGGGCGUAAAGGGUGCGUAGGCGGCUCCUUAAGUCUGGCGUGAAAACCCAGGGCUCAGCCUUGGAAGUGCGCCAGAAACUGUGGAGCUAGAGUGCCGGAGGGGAGAGUGGAAUUCCUGGUGUAGCGGUGAAAUGCGUAGAUAUCAGGAGGAAUAUCGGUGGCGAAAGCGACUCUCUGGACGGCAACUGACGCUGAGGCACGAAAGCGUGGGUAGCAAACAGGAUUAGAUACCCUGGUAGUCCACGCCGUAAACGAUGGACACUAGGUGUCGGGGGUAUCCACUCCCUCGGUGCCGCCGCUAACGCAUUAAGUGUCCCGCCUGGGAAGUACGGCCGCAAGGUUA